GCACCUGGUUUAAUUUGCGUAAAAUCUGAGUGGAGUCUGGUGCAGAGUCCCGGAUGUGGAGGGAGCUUUGCGCUUCAGACAGAAAGAGACAUGUGGAGACGUCACCAUGGGCCCCUGGGUGAAACUGUGGUCAGCGGUCAUGGACUUGGAUCGGAGCGUCAACGAGGUGCUGGGGGCUCGUUUUGGAGGAGGUGGAGCUACAAGACAAGAACCAGGAGAUCACAGGUUGGAUUCGGAUUUCCUGGACACGGAUACGACCUUCAUCAGCAGUCGACUUCCUCCCUGUCGGAUCAGAGAGACGACCUGCCGGUGACCCACCUUCACCACGUCAGCGCCGUUCACCUGGACGGACAGACAGGUAGAUGAAGAAUCCUCCUUCACCUAUAGACAGAACUGCAGAUCCACAACACAGAGUCAGUAGAACCGCCGAUGUACCACCGGCUGCACUACAGAUGGACAUCUGUCUGACCUUUCACCCUCUCUCCUCGGUGCAGCUGGAUCUCUCCAGGCCCCUGGGGGACGUGGGACCGGGUGGCGAUGAAGUGAGAGAAGCGCUGUUCCUGCAGAGGACGGCCCGAUGCAGAGCGGUGAUCCCGUCUCUGGUCCUGAAGUCCAGGUGAGCUCCUCCACUGCGAAGAACUUUUAUCAAGUCGCCACUUUCCUCCAGCUGGACCGCCAGGGUCAGAGGACACUCUGAGACGCAAACAUCCAAAACAAGUCAUUACUGCUUCAAAAUAAGAGCAGAUCAAUGGAAAAUAAACAUGUGGGACUGAGGACGCAGA